rnacentral:misc_RNA from 1 species
GAAAAUAUAUGAAUAAAUAAGCACUAAAGUUUCAUCAAUAAAAGACGUUCCUACAUAAACAUGGGAGAUAUAAAGGACAAAAAAAAUAACAGGGCACCUGAGAUAGGAUCCCAGAUCCCUAACAUAACUAACAUCCAUGACUAGCAUAAUAAACAUGAACCUAAGAACAACAGUACCGAAUGAGCAAAAGAAAACUAAGACACCCUCCAUUCCUUUUGCCCCCAAUACCAA